rnacentral:rRNA from 1 species
GACGAACGCUGGCGGCGUGCUUAACACAUGCAAGUCGAACGGAAAGGCCCUGCUUUUGUGGGGUGCUCGAGUGGCGAACGGGUGAGUAACACGUGAGUAACCUGCCCUUGACUUUGGGAUAACUUCAGGAAACUGGGGCUAAUACCGGAUAGGAUCUCCUGCUGCAUGGUGGGGGUUGGAAAGUUUCGGCGGUUGGGGAUGGACUCGCGGCUUAUCAGCUUGUUGGUGGGUAGUGGCUUACCAAGGCUUUGACGGGUAGCCGGCCUGAGAGGGUGACCGGCCACAUUGGGACUGCGAUACGGCCCAGACUCCUACGGGCGGCAGCAGUGGGGAAUCUUGCACAAUGGGCGGAAGCCUGAUGCAGCAACGCCGCGUGCGGGAUGACGGCCUUCGGGUUGUAAACCGCUUUCGCCUGUGACGAAGCGUGAGUGACGGUAAUGGGUAAAGAAGCACCGGCUAACUACGUG